AUUUGAAAUCUCUGUAAAUAGUGGCUGCUCUUUCUCCCACUUCCUGCUACAGUUUCGGUGUUUUUUUCUUUCUCUUUCUUUUUCUUUCUUUCUUUCUUUCUUUUCUUUCCUUUCUUUCUUCUUCUUUCUUUUCUUUCUUUCUUUCUUUCUUUCUUUCUUUCUUUCUUUCUUCUUUCUUUUCUUCUUCUUUCUUUCUUUCUUUCUUUUUCUCUUUUUCUAAACCAGACAUUGCAUGAUUUUAAACGAACACAGUCCAUACGCAACAAUAAUAAAGAUGAAAAGUCCCUGCGACUACCAUUGGAGAAGCAUCCUCAGACAGUUCCUGCAUGCUCGUGCUCCCUCAUGCUGCCUUCUCCUGCAUCAGGCUCCUCUGCUCGGCAGGGCGGCGGGCAACCUUGACUGCUCCAGAGGGUCCCUGGGGGCCAAGCUCCCUUCCUGGUUGUGCCAAGUCUUUCUUUUUGAUGGUGCCAGCUUGUGGAGAAGAUGGAGCCAGGCCCUUCCUGAAUGCCCACAGAAGAGGAAAACAGACAAAAGAGUUACACCUCCUUCAGAGCCAGCGCUGGCGUGACUCACCCUGGCGGGCACUGCUGUGCAGUCAUCUGCCCGAGCUGUCGCCCUGCUGCGAAAAAGCUGCAGAAAGAGGAGACUGGGAGCAAGCUUAACCUUAUUUUGGAUUGCUCGCUGCCGUCUAGGAGCAGUGAGAAUUAGGAAUCAAUUUCCAUUUACCCACUUCAAAGCGAAUUGUACUGUCUGCCCAAGGAAGCGUGGGGCGCAGCUGAGGAAGAUGCUGCUUUUGUGCUGGAAAUGUUACAAGGUUCAAAGUGCAUUUAGGUGCAACAUGUGUAUGGAUGAGUCAGGAGAUCCUUGCUUCAAAUGUGAGCUCUUCAAAGCGGCGCCUUCCUUUUCUGGUGCGUCUUGCACAGACCUCUCCUUUAAAGACCACAAAGCUGUAACGAAAUGCUGAACGGCUCUAAUGUGUGAACUGAGGCUGCCAUCCACUGCAAAGCAGGACUCCCCCAGGGUUUCCUGCUGCCCCAGGCAGAUAAAAUGUGGCUGCCCAUCUUUAUUGUUCCCAUUGGAGGUGCUGCAUGUGGCCGUCCACCCUGGAGGUCUGUUGCUUCCACCAGCCCUGCCCCAGGGCUGCCUGCAGGGGCAGAAAUUUGGUGCUCAUUUAAAAGAGAUAAAAAACAAUUAGAUUGCAGAUAAAACAAGUUAUCUCUGCUUGGAAGGCUUGUCAGUCCAUUGCUUUCUCUGUGGUUAGAGAAGGUGUCGUGCCAAGCUCUCUGGUCCAUGCUAGUUGCUCCAUCACUGUUUGCACCAGGCGUGGUCAGUGCCUGAACGGGAAGAUCUGCCCCCGCACCCGAGGUCUGCACCUGAGUCUGCUCCACAACACACAGGCUUGGAGCCUGGCCUGGAGCCCUCAGACAAGGCAUUUGUAAUUAGUUCUGGUAAUUAACCCAGCACCCCUACACCCCAUGCCACACCACCCUCCUCCCGGCUCAUCAGAAUGGCACUAUCUCUUGGAGCAUUACUUCACAAAACACAGCCCUGUCCGCGGCUUAAACCCUGGCCUCUUUAAUUAACUGACAACUUUAAUCCAUGUGUUACACUCUGCUUAUCUGGAAACUGACUUUUACUCCUGAUAAGCCGUCAUCUAGUUGCUCUCCAAUGUGGCCCAUGCCCUGCUCCACCCUGGCGGUUACCUGCUCCCGCAGCGAUAAUCCCCGGCCUUGAAAUGCUGUGCUAGAUGCAGCAGGGACAGCGAGGGAGUCCUUGGUCCUGCUGGUAUCAAUAUGGAAGAAACCAAUGUGACUUUGGCUAGUGUAUUCUGGGUUUAUUUGCCUUCUGGUUUUCCACUUCUAAGGAGACAUUCAGAGUCCUCUACCACCGGGAGAGUGAC